UACGGAAGGCAGCAGUGGGGAAUAUUGCACAAUGGGCGCAAGCCUGAUGCAGCCAUGCCGCGUGUAUGAAGAAGGCCUUCGGGUUGUAAAGUACUUUCAGUCGUGAGGAAGGUGUUAAGGUUAAUAACCUUAGCAAUUGACGUUAGCGACAGAAGAAGCACCGGCUAACUCCGUGCCAGCAGCCGCGGUAAUACGGAGGGUGCGAGCGUUAAUCGGAAUUACUGGGCGUAAAGGGCACGCAGGCGGUUAAUUAAGUUGGAUGUGAAAUCCCCGGGCUUAACCUGGGAAUGGCAUUCAAGACUGGUUAGCUAGAGUCUUGUAGAGGGGGUAGAAUUCCAUGUGUAGCGGUGAAAUGCGUAGAGAUGUGGAGGAAUACCGGUGGCGAAGGCGGCCCCUGGACAAAGACUGACGCUCAUGUGCGAAAGCGUGGGGAGCAAACG
rnacentral:rRNA from 1 species